CAGUAGCCGCGGUAACACGAAGGGUGCAAGCGUUACUCGGAAUUACUGGGCGUAAAGCGUGCGUAGGUGGUGGUUUAAGUCCGUUGUGAAAGCCCUGGGCUCAACCUGGGAAUUGCAGUGGAUACUGGAUCACUAGAGUGUGGUAGAGGAUAGUGGAAUUUCCGGUGUAGCAGUGAAAUGCGUAGAGAUCGGAAGGAACAUCUGUGGCGAAGGCGACUAUCUGGGCCAACACUGACACUGAGGCACGAAAGCGUGGGGAGCAAACAGGAUUAGAUACCCCUGUAGUCCCUGUCUCUUAUAC
rnacentral:rRNA from 1 species